UUAAGUUAUUAAGGGCGCACGGUGGAUGCCUUGGCACUAGAAGCCGAUGAAGGACGUUACUAACGACGAUAUGCUUUGGGGAGCUGUAAGUAAGCUUUGAUCCAGAGAUUUCCGAAUGGGGAAACCCAGCAUGAGUUAUGUCAUGUUAUCGAUAUGUGAAUACAUAGCAUAUCAGAAGGCACACCCGGAGAACUGAAACAUCUUAGUACCCGGAGGAAGAGAAAGAAAAUUCGAUUCCCUUAGUAGCGGCGAGCGAAACGGGAAGAGCCCAAACCAACAAGCUUGCUUGUUGGGGUUGUAGGACACUCUAUACGGAGUUACAAAGGACGACAUUAGACGAAUCAUCUGGAAAGAUGAAUCAAAGAAGGUAAUAAUCCUGUAGUCGAAAAUGUUGUCUCUCUUGAGUGGAUCCUGAGUACGACGGAGCACGUGAAAUUCCGUCGGAAUCUGGGAGGACCAUCUCCUAAGGCUAAAUACUCUCUAGUGACCGAUAGUGAACCAGUACCGUGAGGGAAAGGUGAAAAGCACCCCGGAAGGGGAGUGAAAUAGAACCUGAAACCGUGUGCUUACAAGUAGUCAGAGCCCGUUAAUGGGUGAUGGCGUGCCUUUUGUAGAAUGAACCGGCGAGUUACGAUUUGAUGCAAGGUUAAGCAGUAAAUGUGGAGCCGUAGCGAAAGCGAGUCUGAAUAGGGCGUUUAGUAUUUGGUCGUAGACCCGAAACCAGGUGAUCUACCCUUGGUCAGGUUGAAGUUCAGGUAACACUGAAUGGAGGACCGAACCGACUUACGUUGAAAAGUGAGCGGAUGAACUGAGGGUAGCGGAGAAAUUCCAAUCGAACCUGGAGAUAGCUGGUUCUCUCCGAAAUAGCUUUAGGGCUAGCCUCAAGUGAUGAUUAUUGGAGGUAGAGCACUGUUUGGACGAGGGGCCCCUCUCGGGUUACCGAAUUCAGACAAACUCCGAAUGCCAAUUAAUUUAACUUGGGAGUCAGAACAUGGGUGAUAAGGUCCGUGUUCGAAAGGGAAACAGCCCAGACCACCAGCUAAGGUCCCAAAAUAUAUGUUAAGUGGAAAAGGAUGUGGCGUUGCCCAGACAACUAGGAUGUUGGCUUAGAAGCAGCCAUCAUUUAAAGAGUGCGUAAUAGCUCACUAGUCGAGUGACACUGCGCCGAAAAUGUACCGGGGCUAAACAUAUUACCGAAGCUGUGGAUUGUCCUUUGGACAAUGGUAGGAGAGCGUUCUAAGGGCGUUGAAGCAUGAUCGUAAGGACAUGUGGAGCGCUUAGAAGUGAGAAUGCCGGUGUGAGUAGCGAAAGACGGGUGAGAAUCCCGUCCACCGAUUGACUAAGGUUUCCAGAGGAAGGCUCGUCCGCUCUGGGUUAGUCGGGUCCUAAGCUGAGGCCGACAGGCGUAGGCGAUGGAUAACAGGUUGAUAUUCCUGUACCACCUAUAAUCGUUUUAAUCGAUGGGGGGACGCAGUAGGAUAGGCGAAGCGUGCGAUUGGAUUGCACGUCUAAGCAGUAAGGCUGAGUAUUAGGCAAAUCCGGUACUCGUUAAGGCUGAGCUGUGAUGGGGAGAAGACAUUGGGUCUUCGAGUCGUUGAUUUCACACUGCCGAGAAAAGCCUCUAGAUAGAAAAUAGGUGCCCGUACCGCAAACCGACACAGGUAGUCAAGAUGAGAAUUCUAAGGUGAGCGAGCGAACUCUCGUUAAGGAACUCGGCAAAAUGACCCCGUAACUUCGGGAGAAGGGGUGCUCUUUAGGGUUAACGCCCAGAAGAGCCGCAGUGAAUAGGCCCAAGCGACUGUUUAUCAAAAACACAGGUCUCUGCUAAACCGUAAGGUGAUGUAUAGGGGCUGACGCCUGCCCGGUGCUGGAAGGUUAAGAGGAGUGGUUAGCUUCUGCGAAGCUACGAAUCGAAGCCCCAGUAAACGGCGGCCGUAACUAUAACGGUCCUAAGGUAGCGAAAUUCCUUGUCGGGUAAGUUCCGACCCGCACGAAAGGCGUAACGAUUUGGGCACUGUCUCAACGAGAGACUCGGUGAAAUCAUAGUACCUGUGAAGAUGCAGGUUACCCGCGACAGGACGGAAAGACCCCGUGGAGCUUUACUGUAGCCUGAUAUUGAAAUUCGGCACAGCUUGUACAGGAUAGGUAGGAGCCUUUGAAACGUGAGCGCUAGCUUACGUGGAGGCGCUGGUGGGAUACUACCCUAGCUGUGUUGGCUUUCUAACCCGCACCACUUAUCGUGGUGGGAGACAGUGUCAGGCGGGCAGUUUGACUGGGGCGGUCGCCUCCUAAAAGGUAACGGAGGCGCUCAAAGGUUCCCUCAGAAUGGUUGGAAAUCAUUCAUAGAGUGUAAAGGCAUAAGGGAGCUUGACUGCGAGACCUACAAGUCGAGCAGGGUCGAAAGACGGACUUAGUGAUCCGGUGGUUCCGCAUGGAAGGGCCAUCGCUCAACGGAUAAAAGCUACCCCGGGGAUAACAGGCUUAUCUCCCCCAAGAGUUCACAUCGACGGGGAGGUUUGGCACCUCGAUGUCGGCUCAUCGCAUCCUGGGGCUGUAGUCGGUCCCAAGGGUUGGGCUGUUCGCCCAUUAAAGCGGUACGCGAGCUGGGUUCAGAACGUCGUGAGACAGUUCGGUCCCUAUCCGUCGUGGGCGUAGGAAAUUUGAGAGGAGCUGUCCUUAGUACGAGAGGACCGGGAUGGACAUACCUCUGGUGUACCAGUUGUCGUGCCAACGGCAUAGCUGGGUAGCUAUGUGUGGACGGGAUAAGUGCUGAAAGCAUCUAAGCAUGAAGCCCCCCUCAAGAUGAGAUUUCCCAACUUCGGUUAUAAGAUCCCUCAAAGAUGAUGAGGUUAAUAGGUUCGAGGUGGAAGCAUGGUGACAUGUGGAGCUGACGAAUACUAAUCGAUCGAAGACUUAAUCAA
rnacentral:rRNA from 1 species